rnacentral:rRNA from 1 species
CCUACGGGCGGCAGCAGUGGUGGAUAUUGCACAAUGGGGGAAACCCUGAUGCAGCGACGCCGCGUGUGGGAAGACGGUCCUCUGGAUUGUAAACCACUGUCCCCAGGGAGGAAGAUGACGGUACCUGGGGAGGAAGCUCCGGCUAACUACGUGCCAGCAGCCGCGGUAAUACGUAGGGAGCAAGCGUUGUCCGGAAUUACUGGGUGUAAAGGGAGCGUAGGCGGGAUGGCAAGUUGGGUGUUAAAUAUACCGGCUCAACUGGUAGUCGCACUCAAAACUGCUAUUCUUGAGUGAAGUAGAGGCAGGCGGAAUGCCUAGUGUAGCGGUGAAAUGCGUAGAGAUUAGGAGGAACACCAGUGGCGAAGGCGGCCUGCUGGGCUUUUACUGACGCUGAGGCUCGAAAGUGUGGGGAGCAAACAGGAUUAGAUACCCUAGUAGUC